rnacentral:lncRNA from 1 species
CUGCUUCUGAAUUUUUAAGCGGAUGGGGCUAUACAACAGCCCUGUGCUGACUCUUGGGAUUUUGGAACUGACGAGAGCUAUAUGACAACAUUGCGUCUUGUUUGCAGGAAUCUUGAACUCCAAUGAUGAAGAUCGAAAGAGUGGACUAAAUACAAGAUUUCUUUGAGCAGCGCGGCCAUAUCUUUCUAUGUAAUUCCAGCGCAGGAUCAUUUUUCAAGAAAUAUCUGCAAAAAAGCCGAGUUGAUGUGGGAAAUGGGGGCUUGUUGAAUUUCUGAAUUAUAUGCUGCCUGCACAGGGUCAUUUUAUUAUUAUACGCAGGGUCAUUUUAUUAUUAUAUAUGCUGCCAGCGCAGGGCCAUUUUUUCAAGCUGCUAUAUCUCUCUAUAUAUGGCCAGCACAGGGUCAUUUUUCAAGCUGUAGCACUGCUGCCAAUACUUUGUAUCAUAAUCUUACAUGAGACUUUCCUUUUGAAGAGGCUUGUUCUCAGCCAUACAAAAUUCUUAAUUUUGAUAUUACAGUGCUGUCAGACACGAUUCAUCUAAUGGUGUUGGUUCGAGCCAUCAUAGUAACACGGUUAUAAGGGAGAAACAUCCCACAGAUCACUCUAUAUCAGCCUUCUCAUUUUAAAUUUCUUUUAUUCUCAAAAUUAAAUGCUCUGGGGCUCUCUAACUCUAUCCUUGUCCUGAUUAUGUGAGAUCAAGGUCUGGGUGAAGAAGACAUGGAUUGAAACCGGUGGGAAGAAAAUUCAUUUGUAUUAUGAUUUGUGGGGGAGGAAGAGAUCAAACACUAAUUGUAGUAGGUGAUCUUUGCUGCUCCUAGGGACUUGGCUAUUUGAAUUGAUUGAAUUGUGAAGGGUCGAGGAAUAGAAGCAUCAGAGAAUGGGAAUUUGGCAGCCAUUACCGCCGACGAGGGCGGUAGUCCUCGAGGGCAGCACAGUACGGUAGUCUUAGAGGGCAGCGCAGGAUCACGAGAACACACAAGAGGGGUGUUUCAACAUUUACUUGCUAGAAACUCUGCUACCACCCAAUUUUGAGGGCCGCGCAGGUUCACAAAGGAGACCAAAUGGGCAGGUUCAAAGAUACACAAAAGGGCAGCGCAGCUACUUUGAGUGAAGGGAACCGCAGGUUCGAAGAUACACAAAAGGGCAGCGCAGCUGCUUUGAGUGAUGGGCAGCGCAGGUUCAUGAAGAUAC